GUAGUCUCGCACAGAUGCAUAUCAAUAAGCGGAGGAAAAGAAACUAACAAGGAUUCCCCUAGUAACGGCGAGUGAAGCGGGAAGAGCUCAAAUUUGAAAUCUUAAAGGGUUUCCCUUUACGAAUCGUAGUUUAAAGAAGUGUUUUCUGUUGAGGUUUUGGUAAAAGUUCUUUGGAAUAGGACAUCAUAGAGGGUGAGAAUCCCGUAUUUGACCUUUACUUUCAACUUUGUGAUACACUUUCAAAGAGUCGGAUUGUUUGGGAAUGCAGUCCAAAAUGGGUGGUAAAUUUCAUCUAAAGCUAAAUAUUGGCGAGAGACCGAUAGCGAACAAGUACCGUGAGGGAAAGAUGAAAAGAACUUUGAAAAGAGAGUUAAACAGUACGUGAAAUUGUCAAAAGGGAAGCGUUUGACACCAGUGUUGUUUUUCUGAAAAUCAAUUAAAGAACUGUUUAUGCUAAGUUGUUUAGACUUUAUCAGCUAUCUGUUUAGUUUUGAGCUUUUCUUUAAUGCACUUUUCAGUUAACAAGUCAACAUCAAUUUCUUUUGCUGUAAAAAAGCUUGAGGAAGGUGGCUUGAGAUUCGUCUUAAGUGUUUAUAGCCUCUUGCCUAUGCAGUCGGAGAGAUUGAGGUCUGCAGCGUAGAUCCUUCGGGGCUAAAUGCAUUUGUGCUAAGUUAUAGCAUUUUAUAGACAACUUGUUGACUAUGAUUUGUCUUGUAGCUUACUCGCUUAUGUUAUUUUACCUACGCUUAGGAUGUUGACAGCAGUAUAGACUGU
rnacentral:rRNA from 1 species